UUAAUUUAUUUAGUUUUGAUUCAGAAGACACAUUUAUAAUGAGUUUGAGAAAACUUCUGCCGGCCGAAACCGGCAAAGAAACAGGUUUAGUUAAAACAUAGGGUUGAAGUUUGGGCACUGGGUACCCGAAACCUUUAAUGAUCCUUCCGCAGGUUCACCUACGGAAA
rnacentral:misc_RNA from 1 species